AGCAGCCGCGGUAAUUCCAGCUCCAAUAGCGUAUAUUAAAGUUGUUGCAGUUAAAAAGCUCGUAGUUGAAUUUCGGGGUCAGUAGGUCGGUCGUGCCACUGGUAUGAACUGGUUUUACUGAUUCCUCCCUCUUGAAGAACUGUAAUGCCAUUAAUUUGGUGUUGCAGGGAAUCAGGACUGUUACUUUGAAAAAUUAGAGUGUUUAAAGCAAGCUAACGCUUAAAUACAUUAGCAUGGAAUAAUGAAAUAGGACGUUCGAUCCUAUUUUGUUGGUUUCUAGGAUUGACGUAAUGAUUAAUAGGGAUAGUUGGGGGCAUUAGUAUUCAAUUGUCAGAGGUGAAAUUCUUGGAUUUAUUGAAGACUAAC
rnacentral:rRNA from 1 species